rnacentral:misc_RNA from 1 species
CAAACCUCAAGCAACUGCUUGGUAUUGAGCUUUCGUCUUUUUACAAAAGACGUGCUCGAAACUUGUGGGCGGUGCUGUCUAGCAUCUUUGCGUAGUCAUAUAAAUUUCGCACUGAUAAAGCUAGGUGGUCACCCGCCAAACAAAUCUUGAUUUCCUUUCGAGGAAGUCAUAACUUUUUUCAG